rnacentral:rRNA from 1 species
GAUGAACGCUGGCGGCGUGCCUAAUACAUGCAAGUCGAGCGAACAGACGAGGAGCUUGCUCCUCUGACGUUAGCGGCGGACGGGUGAGUAACACGUGGAUAACCUACCUAUAAGACUGGGAUAACUUCGGGAAACCGGAGCUAAUACCGGAUAAUAUAUUGAACCGCAUGGUUCAAUAGUGAAAGACGGUUUUGCUGUCACUUAUAGAUGGAUCCGCGCCGCAUUAGCUAGUUGGUAAGGUAACGGCUUACCAAGGCAACGAUGCGUAGCCGACCUGAGAGGGUGACCGCCCCCCCGGAACCUGAGACCGGGCCAAGCCCCUUCGGGGAGGCAGCAGUGGGAAUUCUUCGGCAAUGGGCGAAACCUUGACGGAGCACCGCGCGGUGAGUGAUGAAGGCCUUCGAUUCGUAAACCCCUGUUAUUAGGAAAAACCAAAUGUGUAAGUAACUAUGCACGUCUGGACGGUACCUAUCCAGAAAGCCCCGGCUAACUCCGU